UCGGUACCGGUUCACGCUGCUCUCCGUCUGGGGGCCGGCGACCCGGCGACC
rfam:Cryptosporangium aurantiacum strain DSM 46144 genome assembly, contig: Ga0131100_101